rnacentral:rRNA from 1 species
UACGUAGGCAGCGAGCGUUGUUCGGAGUUACUGGGCGUAAAGCGUGCGUAGGCGGUGGUGCAAGUCUGUUGUGAAAUCUCCCGGCUUAACCGGGAGGGUGCGGCGGAAACUGUGCUGCUGGAGUACGGGAGAGGCAGGCGGAAUUCCUGGUGUAGCGGUGAAAUGCGUAGAUAUCAGGAGGAACACCCGUGGUGUAGACGGCCUGCUGGACCGUAACUGACGCUGAGGCACGAAAGCGUGGGGAGCAAACAGG